rnacentral:misc_RNA from 1 species
AACGUGGGAGGCCGGAGGCGG